rnacentral:rRNA from 1 species
UGGGGAAUUUUGGACAAUGGGCGAAAGCCUGAUCCAGCAAUGCCGCGUGUGUGAAGAAGGCCUUCGGGUUGUAAAGCACUUUUGUCCGGAAAGAAAUCCUUGGCUCUAAUACAGUCGGGGGAUGACGGUACCGGAAGAAUAAGCACCGGCUAACUACGUGCCAGCAGCCGCGGUAAUACGUAGGGUGCAAGCGUUAAUCGGAAUUACUGGGCGUAAAGCGUGCGCAGGCGGUUUGCUAAGACCGAUGUGAAAUCCCCGGGCUCAACCUGGGAACUGCAUUGGUGACUGGCAGGCUAGAGUAUGGCAGAGGGGGGUAGAAUUCCACGUGUAGCAGUGAAAUGCGUAGCGAUGUGGAGGAAUACCGAUGGCGAAGGCAGCCCCCUGGGCCAAUACUGACGCUCAUGCACGAAAGCGUGGGGAGCAAACAGGAUUAGAUACCCUGGUAGUCCACGCCCUAAACGAUGUCAACUAGUUGUUGGGGAUUCAUUUCCUUAGUAACGUAGCUAACGCGUGAAGUUGACCGCCUGGGGAGUACGGUCGCAAGAUUAAAACUUAAAUGAAUUGACGGGGUCAUAGCUGUUUCCU